UACCUGAUUCAGCGGCGGACGGGUGAGUAAUGCCUAGGAAUCUGCCCGAUAGUGGGGGACAACGUUUCGAAAGGAACGCUAAUACCGCAUACGUCCUACGGGAGAAAGUGGGGGAUCUUCGGACCUCACGCUAUCGGAUGAGCCUAGGUCGGAUUAGCUAGUUGGUGAGGUAAUGGCUCACCAAGGCGACGAUCCGUAACUGGUCUGAGAGGAUGAUCAGUCACACUGGAACUGAGACACGGUCCAGACUCCUACGGGAGGCAGCAGUGGGGAAUAUUGGACAAUGGGCGAAAGCCUGAUCCAGCCAUGCCGCGUGUGUGAAGAAGGUCUUCGGAUUGUAAAGCACUUUAAGUUGGGAGGAAGGGCAGUAAGCUAAUACCUUGCUAUUUUGACGUUACCAACAGAAUAAGCACCGGCUAACUUCGUGCCAGCAGCCGCGGUAAUACGAAGGGUGCAAGCGUUAAUCGGAAUUACUGGGCGUAAAGCGCGCGUAGGUGGUUCAGCAAGUUGGAUGUGAAAUCCCCGGGCUCAACCUGGGAACUGCAUCCAAAACUACUGAGCUAGAGUACGGUAGAGGGUGGUGGAAUUUCCUGUGUAGCG
rnacentral:rRNA from 1 species